CAAGUCUUUAACCGAUUCAAAGGUUAGAUUUGUUCCCGGCUUGAUCUUUGAUCUGACCUCUUCUCUCAGUUUGGCCUGUAACUCCGGUUUGCCGCUAAGAGCGCUGAGGAGAGAUGGGAAGAAGAUGGUGAAGCCACCGAAGGCGUUGAAGCCGAGGACGAAGAGGAGGUUGUGGAUGGUUUCUUCUUUGGAGAGGUUGAACUCGGUUUCGCCUCUUUGAAGCACGGCUUGGCCGUGUUGUUCGACGAAGUCGUAGAGUUUUCUGUAGUCUCCUUUGACGAGGAAGAAUGGGUAAGCGAAAGAGUGGAGGAAGAUCUCUUCGAGUGGUUGCAGGAAGUUGACGCUGAUGGUGGGGAGGAGCUGGAGGAAAACCCAUUUGUCGAGCAUGACGUAGCCAGACUCCGCAAUUUCCGGCGACACAGCGGGAUCCGCGCCAACAAGGCAUUUAGUUAG
rnacentral:lncRNA from 1 species